rnacentral:rRNA from 1 species
ACUGCUCAGUAACACGUGGAUAACCUGCCCAAGGGUCUGGGAUAACCCCGGGAAACUGGGGAUAAUACCGGAUGGAUCACUAGUGCUGGAAUGCUUGGUGGUCGAAAGGCAACGCCUUUGGAUGGGUCUGCGGCGGAUUAGGUUGACGCCGGUGUAACGUACCGGCGUGCCUGUAAUCCGUACGGGUUGUGGGAGCAAGAGCCCGGAGAUGGAUUCUGAGACACGAAUCCAGGCCCUACGGGGCGCAGCAGGCGCGAAAACUCUACAAUGCAGGCAACUGCGAUAGGGGGACAUCGAGUGGCAUCCACCUUGGGUGCCUGUCCAACCGUCUAAAAAACGGUUGUUAGCAAGGGCCGGGUAAGACCGGUGCCAGCCGCCGCGGUAAUACCGGCGGCUCGAGUGGUGGCCGAUAUUAUUGAGUCUAAAGGGUCCGUAGCCGGCUUUGCAAGUCCCCUGGGAAAUCCAGCGGCUUAACCGUUGGGCUUUCAUGGGAUACUACAUUGCUUGGGACUGGGAGAGGUAGGAGGUACUCGGGGGGUAGGGGUGAAAUCCUGUAAUCCUCCGGGGACCACCGGUGGCGAAGGCGUCCUACCAGAACAGGUCCGACGGUGAGGGACGAAAGCUAGGGGCACGAACCGGAUUAGAUACCCGGGUAGUCCUAGCCGUAAACGAUGCCCGCUAGGUGUCACGACGGUCGUGAAUCGUCGUGGUGCCGUAGGGAAGCCGCGAAGCGGGCCACUUGGGAAGUACGGCCGCAAGGCUGAAGCUUAAAGGAAUUGGCGGGGGAGCAC